CCUUCAUCAGUGAAAGUGAAUGUAGUUUGAAGGUGAGCUCUCUUGACAUUGGUGAUGGACGGAGUGAGAGGCAGUGGCAUCUUGAGAAUGUCACGGCUUCCAUCCACCAGUGUGUGUGCAGCCUUAACAACACCUCCAGUCCAAUGCAGUGUUCCUCUUUCAAAUGCUUCAGUUAGCCUCUUUUCAUUUUAAUUUUUAUACCUUUUCAUGUACCAUUGUAGUUAUUGUGAAUGUUUUGGGGUUUUGUUGUUUUUCACAUAUUCAUUGUCUUUUUAUUUUAUGUUUUUUGAGUGAAGACAAGCCGUAUCAUUUUCUAAGCUUUGAAUGAAUUCUGAACUUUUCUGUGAACUCAUUCCCUUGUCCACAGCGUAUGGUUUAUCAAAGGAAGUGUUGUUCAGGCAAUGUCAGCCACAUUUUAGAUGGGCAGUGCUCAUAUCUUGGAGCUUUUUAUGUUUCUCUGAAUUGUUUUACACUGCAAACAUGAUGUUUUGGAGUGAUCAUUGGUUCUAAAUUUGACUGAAAUUAAAUACAUUUUCUACAAGUAGGAAAAUGUACAUUAGACUUCUAGGAAACAACCUCAGGACUGGAUUAAAGAGUUUUUUUAUAUCUAAGUUACAACAAAAAAACUUACUUAACUUGCCUUUGUGGUUUGUAGCCAUGUUGAUAGUUUUGGUUUUAUCUGCCCUUUCUUUGAGAUAUCCGCCUCCAUAUCAGACUUCGGAGACGAGUUGGACUUCAUUAUGGUUUUCACUUUAUUAAGUUACUGAGAUACUUUAGUUUCCAGACAUAUAAUUAGGAGACACAUCUAGUGAAGUCCAUUUGAAUGAAUUCCAUUCAUCUCCUUUUUGUUGGCGUAGGUAAAGAAAUUCAAAAUCUGCACUCCAAAAACCAAACUAUCUGUAUGGCUACAUACAACUACAUGUACGUGAGAAAUGUGGUUUUCUUGUACUUUUAGUAAACUGACCUUUUAGACCACAUAAUCUCAGGGAUAGGUAAUUUUAUGUAACAAAACUCUGUGGGUGUGAUUUUAAAGAAUAGAUCCUCCUUAAAUUCUAUGCUUUACCACUGCUAAGAAGCGUGUUAGCUGUCAGGCUUCGGUGUCUGAACAGAAACACUGGGGGAAAUUUCGGCUACUAGAGAAAGGCUCAGGGUGGCCAACAACAAAGUCAGUUCAGGAAUGCACUGAAUAUCACACACUGCUGAGAUCUGACAGUGGAAGAGGAUCUAAAGGGGAAUUUAGUCCUUUAAUGUAGCAGCAAAUAAUACCACCAAUCAGCACCAAAAAACCUCACCACAGCUACCUUACUGCCACGGCUCUGGCUUUCUAACUGUCGUAUUUUGAUACACACAUGCUGGAGAAAGUGUUCUUUUUGUUUCCUGUAUUUUUAUUUUUUGUUUGCAGACAAGGGAUAUGUCAUUUGCAAUUUCUGUACUGAAACUACCUCUUUAUUUGUCAUCAUGUUGCUUACUUUCAAAUGAUUUUGUCUUAUUUAUUGGUUUCAUUGCACCAAUGUUCUGUUAUUUUGUGUCUCUUGUUCCACUCAGUGACCUCUCAGAUUUAUCAAGCAGCGUUAGUUGUUUCUUUUUUUCUUUUCUUUAAAACAUAUUGCCUCAUUUACCUCUCUACCUCAGACUUGCCAGCUAUUUGUCAGCAGCUUUUACAUCUUGUGUCAGGGAUCCUCUACCAACUCUCCCCACCCACCCCUUUUUUUGUGAAAUGAGCAUCAUCUUAUAUUUCGCUUCUGCCCUGUUGUUGUGAUUCCAAUACCAAAGAUGAAAGAAUGUCAAUGACAAUGUCAGUGUACUGAUUAAGCAUUCAUGUGAUGCAUUCCCACUGCCGUUAAACGCUGCUUUAUUUUUCUGCGUUGACCUUAUCGGAAUACGUCUCGUUAUCUUGUGAAUGGCUGUUUGCUGUGCACACUGAAUUCUCCACAUCACGAUAUGCCGGCGUGUUUUUCCCCCCAUUGUUCUUCAUGAUUGUUGUUUGUUGGUGAGACAGUUCAAGGCAACAAUGGGAGCGCUAUCAUAUCUGACUCUGUCAAUGCUGCUUGUGAUCAAUUAUCAAUCGGAGAAUGUAACUGUGGUCAAACUGACAUCUCCUUGUGUUUACAUGCUCUCGCUCGUGUGUGUGACCCUGACGCUGUGGCACGCGACGACCGACAGACUACUGUAGUGUUAUCACUGGGGUUGGACUCACACGAUACAGAACAUGAGGGCAACCCACAAUGGGCAGCUCUUAGGACCAGCUAGUUACACCCUGAGCUUUAGUUGCAUCAUAUUACUUUUAAUACUUUUUGUUCUCAUUGCAGAGAUCUAGGGAUGCAUAGGGAACACUUUCAGUUUUUAGCAAGUGAAAAUCAAUGAAGAAACUGCAUUUGUUGUAUUUUCUGUACAUGUGCACAACACCGUUUUACGUAAUAGUGGCUACAACCAACAUUUUUGAUGCUUUCGUGUCAGUUAUUUUCCUCCAAACAUAUUUAAAAUCUCAUCACCUAACUGCUCAUGUUUUUUGUAUUGAACUUCUGUUGCAAUUGUCCCAGAUCUCAGUAAUGACAACUGAUAGGAAACGGUUCCAUAACCCGUAGAAAGAAUUUCAAAAAUGUUUUAAAGGUUGUACACAAAAGCUGACUUUUCCACAUAAGAAAAUGUAGGUAAUGUAAUGAGAGAGGAACCACCAUCUAAUCCAGUACUCCACCACUAAAUCCAGUAAAAUGCCGGUUUAAUGAGAACUUAUGUGUCCAACCACGGUGCUGUAGCACUGCAAGAACCUUGUACAGGAGCACAAGAUGAGAGGAGUUUGGGGGAAGCAAGAGUAGAAAAAAGGUGACAUAUCUCAGGGAAGAAAUAGAUUUACAUGCUGUCAUCAGACAACUGAAAUGCCUUUAUGUUUUUCUCUUCAGAAAUCUCUUGUCUGCUCUUGUUACUUUAACUACCUGUGAAGAAUGUGAUCCUUUACGUGUUAAAAGCAUGUGUAGAAUGUGUUAGGACUUGAAACCAAAUAAAUGUGAACGUUAUGCAAG
ensembl:lncRNA